GGGACAAUUUACAAUGACAACGUUACAGACUGAAGGCUUAAGACAAGACCAAAUUCCAACCCCUCAAAAUGUCUCAGGAUUGUGGUGGAACACCAGAGUGCAGAGAGCAGGAGCAACUGUCUUGUUUGGAGUGGAAUUUUCUGGGUUAAAAAAAACCAAAACAAAACAAAACCUUCCUGUCUGAAGAUAACAUAAUGAACAAUGAGAAAUGCUUCCUUGUGUGAGGAUUCUGCACACAGUAAAUGCUCAAUAAAUACGAUUGCUGGAUUGACUACAGUACUCUGAAUACAGAAAGCACUCAAUAAAUAACAUGGAUUGAAAGAUAGACUGCUUACUUCUCAAGGUUCCUAGACUCAUUCAGAAGAAUGAUGCUGUCACUUGGGUUUGCUCGGUUUGGCCCCGGAGCAGAAACACACAACGUAUUGAUUCGGCCGUAAAAAAAUGAGGUCACUGAGGCGCC